rnacentral:rRNA from 1 species
CGUAGCGAUACGUUGAAGCUAACCAGUACUCAAUGACCCGAGAGGCUUAACCUUACAACACCGAAGG